rnacentral:rRNA from 1 species
CCUACGGGAGGCAGCAGUGAGGAAUAUUGGUCAAUGGACGAGAGUCUGAACCAGCCAAGUAGCGUGAAGGAUGACUGCUCUAUGGGUUGUAAACUUCUUUUAUAAAGGAAUAAAACGAGGCACGUGUGCCUUUUUGCAUGUACUUUAUGAAUAAGGAUCGGCUAACUCCGUGCCAGCAGCCGCGGUAAUACGGAGGAUCCGAGCGUUAUCCGGAUUUAUUGGGUUUAAAGGGAGCGUAGGUGGGUUUUUAAGUCAGUUGUGAAAGUGUGCGGCUCAACCAUAAAAUUGCAAUUGAUACUGGGAGUCUUGAGUACAGUUGAGGCAAGCGGAAUUCGUGGUGUAGCGGUGAAAUGCUUAGAUAUCACGAAGAACCCCGAUUGCGAAGGCAGCUUACUAAACUGUGACUGACAUUGAUGCUCGAAAGUGUGGGUAUCAAACAGGAUUAGAUACCCUUGUAGUC